GCAAGUCGAACGGUAACAGGAUGCUCUGAUUCCUUCGGGCUGAAGUUGUCGCUGACGAGUGGCGGACGGGUGAGUAAUACAUAGGAAUCUACCCAGCAGUGGGGGAUAACUUGGAGAAAUCCAUGCUAAUACCGCAUAUGCCCUACGGGGCAAAGCAGGGGACCCUCGGGCCUUGCGCUAUUGGAUGAGCCUACGUCGGAUUAGCUAGUUGGUGGGGUAAGGGCCUACCAAGGCAACGAUCCGUAGCUGGUCUGAGAGGAUGAUC
rnacentral:rRNA from 1 species